rnacentral:rRNA from 1 species
CCGUCUAAUACCGGAUACGACCCGCCACCUCAUGGUGGAGGGUGGAAAGUUUUAUCGGUCAGGGAUGGGCUCGCGGCCUAUCAGCUUGUUGGUGGGGUAACGGCCUACCAAGGCGAUUACGGGUAGCCGGCCUGAGAGGGCGACCGGCCACACUGGGACUGAGACACGGCCCAGACUCCUGCGGGAGGCAGCAGUGGGGAAUAUUGCACAAUGGGCGAAAGCCUGAUGCAGCGACGCCGCGUGGGGGAUGACGGCCUUCGGGUUGUAAACCUCUUUUACCACCAACGCAGGCUCCACGUUCUCGUGGGGUUGACGGUAGGUGGGGAAUAAGGACCGGCUAACUACGUGCCAGCAGCCGCGGUAAUACGUAGGGUCCGAGCGUUGUCCGGAAUUAUUGGGCGUAAAGAGCUCGUAGGCGGCAUGUCGCGUCUGCUGUGAAAGACCGGGGCUUAACUCCGGUUCUGCAGUGGAUACGGGCAUGCUAGAGGUAGGUAGGGGAAACUGGAAUUCCUGGUGUAGCGGUGAAAUGCGCAGAUAUCAGGAGGAACACCGGUGGCGAAGGCGGGUUUCUGGGCCUUACCUGACGCUGAGGAGCGAAAGCAUGGGGAGC